rnacentral:rRNA from 1 species
UACAGAGGUCCCAAGCGUUGUUCGGAUUCAUUGGGCGUAAAGGGUGCGUAGGCGGCGCGGUAAGUCGGGUGUGAAAUCUCGGAGCUUAACUCCGAAACUGCAUUCGAUACUGCCGUGCUUGAGGACUGGAGAGGAGACUGGAAUUUACGGUGUAGCGGUGAAAUGCGUAGAUAUCUGGAGGAACACCGGUGGCGAAGGCGGCAUCCUGGACCAAUAUUGACGCUGAGGAGCGAAAGCCAGGGGAGCAAACGGG